GGGGACUUAGCUCAGUUGGCUAGAGCAACUGGUUUGCAACCAGUAGGUCGAGGGUUCGACCCCCUUAGUCUCCACCA
rnacentral:tRNA from 1 species